rnacentral:misc_RNA from 1 species
ACCCUCGACAUCCCCUUGGGGAAGUCGGCGUUGGGGACCGGCAGCACACCGCCGGCCCCGAAAUUGAGUGGCGGCCCGUCCGCGGCGACCUCUGCGUAGUAAUCCAACCUCGCACCGGAACCCCGACGUGGCCACGCCGUAAAACACCCAACUUUCUGAACGUUGACCUCGGAUCAGGUAGGAAUACCCGCUGAACUUAA